UCUCAUGCUGUGACCCUCCAAAGGGAAGUGCUUUCUGUUUGUUUUCUCUCAAACAAAGUGCCUCCCUUUAGAGUGUUACCGUUUGGGA
rnacentral:pre_miRNA from 1 species